rnacentral:rRNA from 1 species
CCUACGGGAGGCAGCAGUGGGGAAUAUUGCACAAUGGGCGAAAGCCUGAUGCAGCAACGCCGCGUGAGCGAUGAAGGCCUUCGGGUCGGAAAGCUCUGUCCUCAAGGAAGAUAAUUACGGUACGUGAGGAUGACGCCCCGGCUAACUACGUGCCAGCAGCCGCGAGAAUACGUAGGGGGCUAGCGUUAUCCGGAAUUACUGGGCGUAAAGGGUGCGUAGGUGGUUUCUUAAGUCAGUGGUGAAAGGCUACGGCUCAACCCUAGUAAGCCUUUGAAACUGGCAAACUUGAGUGCAGGAGAGGAGAGUGGAAUUCGUAGUGUAGCGGUGAAAUGCGUAGAUAUUACGCGGAACACCAGUUGCGAAGGCUGC